UAAGUGCUGAAAGCAUCUAAGCACGAAACUUGCCCCGAGAUGAGUUCUCCCUGACCCUUUAAGGGUCCUGAAGGAACGUUGAAGACGACGACGUUGAUAGGCCGGGUGUGUAAGCGCAGCGAUGCGUUGAGCUAACCGGUACUAAUGAACCGUGAGGCUUAACCUUAC
rnacentral:rRNA from 1 species